GGCGUGCCUAACACAUGCAAGUCGAACGAAGCACUUAUCGUUCGAUUCUUCGGGAUGAAGAGAUAUUUGACUGAGUGGCGGACGGGUGAGUAACGCGUGGGUAACCUGCCUCAAUACAGGGGGAUAACAGUUAGAAAUGACUGCUAAUACCGCAUAAGCGCACGGAAUCGCAUGAUUCAGUGUGAAAAGCCGAGACGGUAUGAGAUUGGACCCGCGUCUGAUUAGGUAGUUGGUGAGGUAACGGCCCACCAAGCCGACGAUCAGUAGCCGACCUGAGAGGGUGACCGGCCACAUUGGGACUGAGACACGGCCCAAACUCCGUACGGGGAGGCAGCAGGUAGGGGAAUAUUGCACAAUGGGGGAAACCCCUGAUGCAGCGACGCCGCGUGAAGGAAGAAGUAUUUCGGUAUGUAAACUUCUAUCAGCAGGGAAGAAAAUGACGGUACCUGACUAAGAAGCCCCGGCUAACUACGUGCCAGCAGCCGCGGUAA
rnacentral:rRNA from 1 species